CAAACUCGUACAUAAGCGAGUAAACAUGAACCAAACCACAUUUCAUGCAGAAAGGAUGUAAGAAAAUUAUGCAAGCUUAACUACGCAUCAUGAGAGAAAGGUAAAGAACCACAACCGUCGGACACACCCGAGACGGCAAACAAGAUCCCAACACGUGGCACACGCGAGGAGUGAGAUGGUGUGAACCUAGGAACACAUCCUAAGGCUUCGAAUCACAGAAAACAGUGAUAACAGGCGAAACACAUCCAACCAUUAUGCAACCAAAACAAAGAGCAGUAUAAGCAUUGGAAUCUGUCCAGAUGCAUUUAACCAAAGCGUCCUAACGCGCCACGCGCGAGAGGGAAAAGAGAGCGGUGCAAACACCAGAGGGUGGUAUAAACAUCAAAGCACGUUCCAAUGUUUCUAACCAAAAUAGAGUGGUAUAAGUGUUGAAACACGUUCCAAACGCUUCUAGCCAGAAUGGUGGUAUAAACAUCGGGCACACAACCCAAUGUUUCUAACCAAAACAAAGUGGUAUAAGUGUCGAAACACAUUCCAAACGCUCCUAACCAGAAGGGUAGUAUAAACAUCGGGCACACAACGCAAUGUUUCUAACCAAAGCAAGAGAUAAACAUCGAGCACACGACCCAAUGCUUCUAACCAAAGAGGGGAGUAGUAUAAACACCAGGCAUACCCGAGUGUUUCUAACAAAAAACAAGGUACAAACGUCGGGCACACGACCCAAUGCUUCUAACCAAAACAAGGUAUAAACAUUGGGCACACAACCUAAGUGUUUCUAACCAAAACAAGGAGUGGUAUAAACAUCAAGCACACAACCCAAUGCUUCUAACCAAAACAAGGUAUAAACAUCGGGCACAAAACCCAAGUGUUUCUAACCAAAACAAGGAGUAGUAUAAACAUUAGGCACACAACCCAACGCUUCUAACCAACACAAGGUAUAAACAUCGGGCACAUAACCCAAGUGUUUCUAACCAAAACAAAUGAGUGAUGUAAACACCGGGCAUACCCUAGUGUUUCUAACCAAAAGGGGGCUCUAAGGACAGGAAUGAUCUUACUUGAAGUUCUUCUGAAUAAACCGAACAUAUAAUAUCGUCUAGUUGCACCAGCUUUGAAUGAACCGCACAUACAAUAUCGUCUGGUUGCACCAACUUUGAAUAAACCGUACAUAUAAUAUCGUGCCUGCAUAAGAAAGAAACUUUGACAGGUACAAUACAAUAAGAAUGCAUAUUCUAUGCAAGACGAAUAACCACGACACAACGCUCAGAGGCAUUCUUCCUGCACAUCAUGCGAGGAAGAAAACAGAAGCAUAUUCUAUGCAACGAAACAUGGAGCAUGUUCUAUGCAACACCAAAUGCAUGUUCAAUGCAACAGGUACGGACAUUUUCUAUGCGAAUGUAAGGGCAUGUACAAUGCAAUACAAUGUAACAUGCAUAUUCUUUGCAAACAUGAGAACAUGUGUAGUGCAAUGCAACACAACAUACAUAUUCUGUGCACAACAACAAUGCGUAUUCAAUGCAACAUCAAUAGCAUGUUAAAUGCAAAACACUGAAUAAAGAAAUGCGCGUCUUAACAAGGCCAAUUCAGUUGCAACCUCAGAUUUACCUCUCGGAGGAAUUACAAUGUAUUUCAAAAGGAUACACCUCGUUCAUGCCGGCUGACAAUGAGUCAUGCAUCGAAGACAUGAGUUGAAACUUCCACAGAGACACUUGGAGUUAAAAAGUGAACUUUUCUUGCACUUUCUUGAGAGACAAGGACACAAAAUAGCAUAGAAACACACAGGGAGAACACUGAACACCUGCCGGCCACCCUGAAGCUAUGUCGGCAACCUGAAAAUUCUGUCGGCCACCUAAGUGGCCGGUCAGCCACAAAAACUGGCCAGUCGACCAGUUGUGAUAAUUCUGGGCUAUUUCGGUCUUUUUGCAUGGAGAUCUUUAAAAACACAUUCCCAAAUCACAUUUCUUCACACCUACAGUGCCGAAAUUCUCUCCUCUUCAUCCCUAGACACUUUUUCCUCCUAGAUUCGUGCUUUACACUCGUUUUCCAAAGCCCCUCGCGAAGUUGAUUCGCUAAAACCUUUCGGUUUCCUCUAUUUUAAACCAAUUGAAAUUUGUUUUCGGAGCUUUUUUCUCCAUUUUCACCACUUGAGGUUGUUUCCUUCAAGUUUAUCUCGAGUUUGGCGCUUUUUCCCGAGCUUUGACUUUUUCUCCCAUUUUCUCUCUCCGAGAGUUGACUUUCGUUGACUUUUGGCACUUUUCACCUAUUUUGCUCAUCGUCACCUGCUUUCUCACCUUCUUUCCAGAUGGCAGACAACGUUUCACAUGACGGGGGUUCUCCUGGGAUGGAGGGAGAGCCUGAGUCCAUACCAUUGCCGCCUAGAGUGCGACUUUUCAAUCCGGAGAGGUACCGACAAUCCGUCACUUCAGCGGAUUUGCAUGACACACACCAGCAAAUCUCCUGCUGUGAGAGCCAAAGUCUCACUUGUCCCAAGGUGCCUCCGAGGUAUGUACUACAUUCUUACAUUUCUGCAAUGUACUUUACAUUUCUUGUAUAGCUCACACUUUUGCACUGUAUUUCAUCUGCUCAUUCUGAACACAUUCACACACUGUAUUUCUACUCAUUCUGAACAUAGGUAAACUCCUGUUUUACCCGCGGAUAUGGGUCCACCACAAGGAGAGAGUGGUAUAUGGACCUCCCCGACGGCGUUCGCCAGAUCAUCGAUGAGGCGGGGUUCGGUUUGUUCUGCAUGGGGCUGUCGCAUCUCAUGGUGAGCAAGACUCUCUUGGGCACACUAGUAGAAAGAUGGUGGGAUACCACUAACUCCUUCCAUUUGUCUUCCACCGGGGAUAUGACGAUGACCCCAUAUAAUUUUGCCAUGUUAACGGGCCUUAAGGUGGGAGGCCAGCCGAUCCCAUACGACUCCAAUAUGGGUGAGUGGGAGGCUGCUAGACUUAUCUGCUGGGAGCCCCCCCGCCUAUCUUCUGAUUAGGGAUGGUCCGAUACUCCUGGUUCGCAGACCACUUCAGAGGGACAGACCCAGCGACUGUAGAGGGGACCGAGCAGUAUGCCCGAGGUUUCCUGAUGUUCCUCUUCGACACUACCUUGUUCGCCGACAAGGCGACCACAGUCGGGCUAUAUCUUUUGAGCGCCUUAGUGGACCUAUCUCAGGUUCAGCAUUAUGAUUAGGGUGGCGCCGGCCUCGCUACCCUAUACUGCUACAUGAGCUCAACCUCCUGCAGGAGCAGGAAUAGAGUUGGCAGCUAUUGGAGAGCCUGGGAGCUAUGGGUGUACACAUAUUUCCCAGCGCUUGCUCCCGAGCCGGAGGUUGAGACACCUCUUGAGGUGCCAUACUCGCAUCGAUACGACGGUCGGUGCUAGCCGAGGACCCGGGAGACCCUCUUAUUCCUUCGCCAGUAGUUCGACACAAUGAGGGCGAUAGAGCCCUGAGUGAUGAUGCCAAAGGGUGUCAGGUUUUAGUUUGCCGGAGCUUGGGGCGCUUCCCGAUAUCGACUCCUGCUUGAGGGGCCAGUAGGCCGAGUCUGGUUUCUAGGCGAGCGCUUCAUGCGCUAGGCGCUGGGUCUACCAUUACAGUCGAUUCCCUUACUAUCUCCACCUUCCAUGCGAGCCACAGAGAGUCUCUCCCCUCAGGAUAUCAUUGACUUCAUGUGGGGUGAAGAUGCAGACCUCUUCAUUGGGGAGGGGGACUAUACGACUUAUCUCUAGACGUACCUCAUGCCUCCGUUGAUAGGUGUUCAUGCUCACACGAGGAGGGCACCUGAUAUUCCUCCGUCGAGCAAGGCUCGAGCAACAGAUGCCCCUUCGACAAGCAAGGCCCAAGCACCGAGGGGUAGGGCUCGAGGGAUACCCCAUGUUAGGCAGAGUUUUGGAUGGCCAAAUCUUCCGACUGAGCUGACAGGUUGGCGGUACUCCGGAGUACCUUAUCAGAUCCCGAUUGAGCCUCCGUUGCCUAGUCACAGAUAUGUCAGGACACCCAAUUCACCAUCGUCCUCCAUCGGGUAUGUCGAGGGGUUCCUCGAGGUGUUGGCCUCAUUCGAGGGCAUGAUCUUGAGGAGGGAGAUGAUGCUUGGCUCCCACGGCAUUUAGGU